rnacentral:lncRNA from 10 species
CUGGUCUCAAACUCCUGGGCUGAAGCAAUCCACCCACCUCAGCCUCCCAAAGCGCUGGGAUUACAGGUGUGAGCUACUGCACCCGGCCAUCCUAACUACGCAGUCAGAAUCUGUAGUUGGUUGGUUAAAGAAAAAAGUCAGCUAUAUGGGGCUUCAUAAAAUUAUUAUAUAUAUCUUCAAAAUUUUAUUUUUAAUUUAAAAUAUAAACAGGUUUAUCUACCCAUCACUCCUUUGAUGUCAGGAUAAGACCUUUUCUUUGCGUGUGGGCCUGCUGAUGCAGGCUGCACAGAGGACAUUGAUUAGCACAGCAAGAAGCAUUAUCAAUUUCAGCUUUAGUAGAAUGAGGACUCAAGACACUUGUGAAACAAAAUGAAGGCAAAGUCCUAUAUUUUGACACUUUUCUCUCCCUCCCAAACAUUCACGGUUGCUUUACCCACACCUAAUUCCACAGCAUUUUUUUCUUUAAUAACACGUCUUUUAUCAGGUCUUUCCCAAGUUUUCAACUUUUUUUCAUAGAGAUUACUCUCUUCACACUCAUAAUUGUUUGAUUUUGGUAAUAUUGAAUUAAAUUACAUCGUUAUUAAGUACAACUUGCAAAAACAAGUUUUGGAACAAAUACAACUGAUUUUUUUUUUUUUUUUUGAGAUGGAGUCUUGCUCUGUUGCCCAGGCAGGAGUGCAGCAGCACAGUCUUGGCUUACUGCAGCCCCCGCCUCCUAGGCUCAAAGAAUUCUCCUGCCUCAGCCUCCUGAGUAGCUGGGAUUACAGGGGCCCACUACCAUGCCCAGCUAACUUUUGUAUUUUUAGUGGAGAUGGGGUUUCAUCAUGUUGGCAGGCUGGUCUUGGACUGUCCUCAAGUGAUCUGCCCACCUCAGCCUCCCAAAGUGCUGGGAUAACAGGCAUGAGCCACCAUGCCCGGCCAAAUACAACUGAUUUUUGGAAAGCAUACAACUCAGAGAGAGCAGUGAUUAGCCUACCAAGGAGCAGACGACUUCAUAGUAGGGGAAAUUUGGGUUCUGAACAUCCGGCAUUAUUUUUCACCGAGAGCAGAGACUGGCUCAAAAGUCUGAACCAUAUAGGUAGCUAAUGAAAGCUGAGUUAGUUUAAGAAAUGGAAAAUCUAGGCAGGCCAUGGUGGCUCAUGCCUGUAAUCCCAGCACGCUGGGAGGCUGAGGCAGGAGGGUGGCUUGAGUCCAGGAGUUCAAGAGCAGCCUGGUCAACAUGGUGAGUCCCUGUCACUGAAAAUUUUAAAAAGGAAAAAAGAAAGUCUAAAUUCAGGGACUUAGCACCAAACUUUCAUGAAGGUGAGCAAUGCUGAAACCCUGUGGAGAGGGAUGCUGACAAUGAAGGCUUGGGCAAUCAAUCCAUUCUUGGCUGGGUCUCUAGUGGGCCUGACAAUGAUUCUCUUCUCAAAGCCUGAGCCUCCAUUUGCAUGUGUUUAGUGUCAUGAACCUAGUCCCAGCUAAAUGUUCUAAAAUAUUUAAAUACAACACCCUUUAAAGGAGACAAGAAAGGAACUGCUCCUAGUUUUGUUUAAUAAAGUAUUAAAGUCUAAAGUAUCCUUAAAAUGGGUCAGAAAGAGCGAUGGCUCAUGCCUGUAAUCCCAGCACUUUGGGAGGCCCAGGCAGGUGGACAACUUGAGCCCAGGAGUUCGAGAUCAUCCUGGGAAACAUAGGGAGACUCCAUCUCCACAAAAAAAAAUUUAAAAAUUAGCUGGGCCUGGUAGCACAAGCCUGUGGUCCCAGCUUCUCAGGAGGCUGAGGCAGGAGGAUUGCUUGAGCCCAGGAGGUUGAGGGUGCAGUGAGUUGUGUUUUCCAGCCUGGGUAACAGAGCCAGCCCCUGUCUUCAAAUAAAAAUAAAUAAAUAAAACUCUCCAAGAGCACCCAUUUGCUAGACACUAUGGGGGGACUAUCCUGUCUACUGGUGCCCUCUUGUGUUAAAACAGCAGGUCUACAUGAGAAUUAUGAAGCUUUAAGGUGCAUGUGUCUGAGAGAUCUUCAUUCACCUUGGAUUGCACAUUAAAAAUUAGCCCCAAAAUGAUUCAAAUGGUGGUGCUUGAGGUGGGGCCAUGGAAUCAGAAGUGUUUUCUCCCCACCUCCUAAACUGUGUAAAAUGAAAUUAUUAAUGUAUUACUUUUACCAGUAAAACACACACACACUAAAAAAACAGAACAAAACACCACCACAAAUUACCACUACAGUUAAUUAGUUAUAACAAGCAGACCCAGACUGGGCACAAUGGCUCACACCUGUAAUCCCAGCUCACUCAGUUUCUGAGAAUCAGGAAUCUGCAUGUGGCUUAGCUGAUGCUGGGGCUGCAGUAUUCAUUUCCAAGAUGGCACACUAACAUGGUUGUUGCCCGAAGGCCUCAGUUCAUCAUCACAUGAGCCUCUCUACAAGGCUACCUGGGUGUUCUCUUGACAUGGCAGUUGGCUUUUUCCAGAAUAUGAGUGAUCCCAGAGAGGAUCACUCAGUUGAAGAAUUUAAAGAGAGGCAAAGCGUUUAGGAAAGGUGAAUCCACAUCUGUUUUCUCCAUUUGUAUUUAGGAAGCCCACUGAAUUAUAGAAUAUCUAUCUUAAAAGGUUUAGUCUUCCAAUAAAGCAACAGAGAAUAUGCUUAAGAUCAUGAACUCUGGAGCCAAAAUGCCACUUACUAGCUGAGUGGACCUCUGGCAAUUACUUAACCUCUUUGUGCCUCAAUUUCUGCAAAAUAAGGAUAGUAAUAUCACCUACCUGAUUAAGACAAUUAAAGGAAAUAAUGUGCAAUUAACAAGUUACACGUAAACUGCUUUUAACAGUGCUUGGCAUGUAGUCAGCUCUAUGCAAGCUUAAUAAAUGCGAUUUUUAAAAAAGUCAGACUUGACAAAGUAUAUUAGGGUUAAAAUAGUUCUUCUAUUAUUUCUCCCGCUUAGUAUUCUUAUCUCUCAAGGUUUUUGCUAAUAAUAAUUUCUGUUACGCCUCAACUUAAACUGAUGCUUAAUGGAAUUUGUUAUAUUUAAGGGAAAGUAAUCUAAAUUGCUAAGAAGAUAGAUGUGGCAAAAUAAAAAAUAUUUGGUCUUUGUCCCUGGUCCCUGGCACAGAGCUUCUCAGACCCUUGGAAAUUACUGGGUUUUUUUUUUUUUUUUUCUUGAGACGGAGUCUUGCUCUCAGGGGGAGUGCAGUGGUGCCAUCUUGGCUCACUGCAACCUCUGCCUCCCGAGUUCAAACAAUUCUGCCUCAGCCUCCCAAGUAGUUGGGAUUACAGGUGCCCACCACCAUGCCUGGCUAAUUUUUGUAUUUUUAGUAGAGAUGGGGUUUCACCAUGUCAGCCAGGCUGGUCUUGAACUCCUGACGUCAAGUUAUCUGCCCACCUCAAUCUCCCAAAGUGCUGGGAUUGCAGGCAUGAGUCACCAUGCCUGGCCGGAAUGUACUGUCUUUUGUAUGCUAAUGAGAACAUAGGGCUAGAGGAUCAGAACUCUCAGCCCUGACCCACAAACUCCAGGGAGGUUAGAGGGGCUACAGACCGGAUCAUAAAAACUCCUGAAUGAUUAGAUUUGGAAAGCUUCCAGGCUGGUGCUGUGCUGGGAGGCUGACGUGCUCAAAGAAGGAAUGGAAACCCUGUGCCAUUCCAUCCCAUCCCAUGGCCUUGGUACUUCUUGCUUUCAGCUGUUCCUGAGUUGUACCCUUGUAAUACAUCUGCAGUAGUAAAUACACACUUUCCUGAGUUCUCUGAGUCAUUCUAGAGAAUUAUUGAGCCUGAAGGAUCAUGGGAAUACCCUAAUUUGGAGUUGGGGUGGGCAGAAGUAUGGGUAGUUUGGGUACCCUAUUUGAUGCUGGCAAAUGAAGUGGGUGUAGUUUUAUGGGAGUGUGGGGUCUGGGCUAACUCCAGAUAGCACCAGAACUGUUCUGAAUUGCUGGACAUUCAGUUGGUGUUGGAGAAUCGGUUGCUGGUGUUGGAAAAACCACACAUUUGAUGUCAGAAAACACUACAUAAUGGGGCUUCAAGUGGGUAAGAUGACCUUUGAUGACGUCAUGUGCCAUGGCAAUUAAUAUACAGCAGUCCUUCCCAAAGUCAUCUUCCUCCCAGUGUGGAGACUCUCUAAAGAGAUGCUGAUAGUGCACUGGGAGAAACCCAGAUGUAAAUGGAUGUGUACAUACAUGCUGGAGUUUAAAAAUAUGAGCAUGGGCUGGGCACAGUGGCUCACGCCUGUAAUCCCAGCACUUUGGGAGGCUGAGGCAGGUGGAUCACCCGAGGUCAGGAGUUCGAGACCAGCCUGGGCAAAAUGGUGAAACCCUGUCUAUUAAAAAUACGAAAAUUAGCCAGGCAUGGUGGCACACACCUGUAGUCCCAGUUACUCAGGAGGCUGAGGCAGGAGAAUCAUUAGAACCUGGGAGGCAGAGGCUGCAGUGGGCUGAGAUCGUGCCACUGCACUGCAGCCCGGGUGACAGAGCAAGACUCUGUCUCAAAAUAAAUAAAUAAAUAAAUAAAUAAAUAAAAUAAAAAAUAAAAAUAUGAGCAUGAACUCUUUGAUGCUAUUGCCUUCAAAAGGUACAGCUUAAUUCCCCAUCCCUUCAGUGUAGAAUGGACUUAGUGACUCACUUCUAACAAAUCAAAUUCAUUGGAAAUGAUCGUGUGCAACUUCAGAGACUGGGUCAUGAAAGGCCUUGUGGCUUCCAUCCUCUCUGGGAUCACUCAUUAUGGAGAAAGC